CUUUUAGAUUUGGAAUUGUCUUUGAAGUUAAAUGUAUACUAACCUUGUUUAUUUAAGGCAGUCGGUUCCACAAAGGAGAAAAGCAGCUGAAUGUCAGAAAAGCUCAUUCUGAAAAUCAGUCAGGACUACAUGGUGCAGGUUAUCAAUUGGAUGUCCCUAGAAAUGACAGCCUUGCACAACACAAUCAUUUCCACGAUGGAGAAAAACAGCUGAAAGUGGAAAAAGUUGAGUAUGAAAAUCGGAUGCACGAUCCUGAUUACCAGACGAAUGCUGUUAAAAAAGCUGCCAAGAAGCGAAGUAAACCCUCAAGAAACAAUUAUGAAAAUCCAAUUUAUGCCAACAGCUGUGAGCAUCUUGACCGAAUAUAGGAAGAAAGAAGGGAUGGCAAACACAGCUGUGUAAAUCAGUGGCUCCCAAACUGGGGUGCCAGGGCAUCCCUGGGGGGCGCAAGACGGUUUCCGAAAGGCUGGAGCACUAAUUCUCUCAAUUUACCCCUGACACCUGACAAGGCAAUGGGGUUCACUUGAAUGUAACACUUAAGUGCCUUGACUUCAACCCCAUCGUACAUCAUUCUUCAUUUCCAUGCUCAUUCUAACAGUGUGUACCACGUACAACAAAAGGGGAUGAUUGUAAAGACCAAAAACAAUCACAUUUCUAUUGAUUUAGUGGGUGGAGGUCCUCAGUCAGGCUGUCUAAUGUCAUAGCAGUUUGAUGCAUUCCUGGUUUCACUAUGAGUUUAAUAAGACACACUUGAGUUUGUUACCUAUACACUGGCUAAUCAAGCUUGUGGUAAAACCUGGAAUGGGUGAAAUUGCUAUGUAACAGGAAUCUUAUUUCCACCCCUGCCUUACGAGGUUUACAAAGCAUGAUAUCUAUUUAGUUACAGCAUAAUGCCAUAAUAAAUCAUCUCUCAAGACCCACCUGUUCUCUCAUGCUUUCCAUGCUCUUUAAGCCUGAUCUCUGCUAUUAGCUGCUGUGUUGCUGCUACUAUUUCAUGUAUUAUGCACUUUCCACUGUAUUUAAUGUAUUAUGCAUUUUGUUCUGUAUAGCAUGUAUUAUGCAUUUCUGUAAUUAAAGUACAAUGGAUUUUCUUGUUGGUGCAUUCACCAUGAUAAAGGGAACUAUAGAAGUAAAAUCAGUGGUGCUACAGACAAUGGGUGGGCUAUGCAGUCAGCAGGUACAGUUGCUCUCUAGUCACUUUAGUUAGCAAGUAAGUUCAUGUGAAUACCAUUGCAUUGAAAGGCGUUUUUUUUUUGCUCUGUUAACUAAUAUGCCACCAAAGCUUUGUAAUAUUUAACUGGACUGCUUCAUCACAUCAGUUAUUUUUGUGAAUCAUAAUAAUAUAUCUAACAUAUAAUCACCUAUUGAAUGGACUGCGUGCUUGAUGUGCAGCGUGAUAUGGUGCAUUGAUGUGGUAAACUUACUUUCUAAUCACCCUGUAUAGUGUUGAUAUUUGCAUUUUUCUAUUUUUAAUGAUUUUUUUGCACUAUUGUUGUUUUUUGUGUUAAUUUUAAAUAACUUAAUAAAAUCUGAAAAAGUGCAUACUACAUUACAGUACUUCUGAAAUGUUAUAAGCACAGUAUGAUGUAACAGAGAACCUUCAAAUACUGUC